rnacentral:lncRNA from 1 species
AGGGGCAGACACACAGGUUACUAAGGGUUACUCCCCUCCCGCAGCCCCAGGACUGCACACCCCACAAAGCAACUAGACCACCAGGCUGUGGCAAGACCAAUCAAGUCCCGGGUUCCUCCUAUCCAGGCAAGGACGGGCCCAUGAGCAACGUACUCAUGAAGAUGCACCUCCGGCCAAUGAGCGCUCUGUGCUCAUAAAGACACGCGCAAUUCCACUAUUCACCUACUAACUCGGCAAAGCACACAAAUUUGAUGCAGACCCAGUUCUGGGGGGCUGCGGUGAAACAGGAAUGCUCCUAACACUUCGUCCACAGCCUUUCUGAAGCGCAACCUGGGGAAAAUAUAUCCAAUUCCUUGAUCAGGUAAUUUCACUACUUGGAUUUUUAUCUUAAGAAAACAUUCUAAGAUGUGUGUAAAAAUUUGGCAACAUACCGUUAAAUGGAAAAGAAGAGAGUAACCCAAACACCCUACAAUGGUGGUGAAAUCAAUGUUUUUCAAGCAGGGACCUCUAUGCAAACAUAACUGACGCGCCGCGAUACUUCCCUUGAGAAGGGAUCUGACUUGGAGGAAGCCCAGGCUGUAACUGCCCCACACAGGGCGACACGACGCCCGCUCUACCCACUCUCCACAACCAGAGCGGGAGCCGCAGGCUAGAAGGGGCCGAGCUGAAGUCCUGAGCCUGGUGUGUAACAGAGCCAUGCAGGGAGCUGGGGAAACAUGAGUUCUCGGCCUCACCUGGAGACACAGAGUCUCUAGAAGGGAGUGGUCCUGUGCCCUCCACAGGUGCUGGGGACUGGGAGGUCUGAUCUGCUGAGGAGGGGCCAGGCUCCAGGUUCUGGUGCUCGCCAGCUGGGGGCCUCAUCUGGAAGAGGUGCAUGAUGCUCCCUGCCUGCCUUGCUGGGCCCUUUGAGGCCCCAGAGAGAGAGUAGGCUGCGCAGAAGCUUCUCCGCUCACCAAGUGUGCUCCCUCUGUGUGCUCCCAGGCACCAAGUGUGCUCCCAGGCUGGCCUGGGGCAGGAGGCAGCCUGGGGCCUGCCCGAGCGGCAGGCAGAGCUUGAACAGGAUUUCAAGGGUACGCAGGCCAGUUCUGCUUGGCGUCAGCUGCCAGCGAUGGGGGUAGGGCUGACACUGUGCACAAGUGGGUGCAGUUCAACACCUGCUCCCAGGGCAGAGCACAAAAUCCAGCCUUCUCCUCAGAAUGAUGCACAUGCCACAGACAGGACAGAGGCUGAGACAGUGAGGGGCACUCCCGGCGCAGUCCUGGAUAUCCCCAACCGGACUGCAGCAACGAGGUCGAAUAGCAGAGGGGAGCGAGGGAAGAGCUGCGCACAGAGGGCAGGGGGGAAUUCCAGCCUUUAGUUUCUUCCCAGCAGAUGGGUGGGGACUGGGGAAGCAAAGCAGGGCCUUGGAGCACCCGCCGCCUCCCUCGCCGCACGCCUGCUGACGCCAAGACCACAGACCUGUCCCGAGGGCCUGAUUCUUUCAAAGGCUGCAGUGUUUGUGUGUCUCUUUGAAAUACAGGUGAUCACUGGCUGUCACAGCCAACAAGCUGUUGAACCAGCCUCAGCGGAUGGGAAAUAAAAGGCGCUCUCUCUGGAGGAAGGUAUAUGUGCCUGCCAUGGGCACGCUCAUUGUUCCUGAACACUCGGUGGAGGAAGCCGUUCUGAUGGGUUUGCUUUUUUUGGAAUCUUUUGAUUAACUGAGAAAGGUGAAGGCUGAGGUGUUGGGGGGAGCUCUGCACGGGAACUCAGGAGAGUGGCAGGGGCACCCAUUAGACUGGAGAUGCUGGCCCCCCAAGGAGCCACAGGUCCACCCUCUGGGCCAUGGUGGGAUUCGAUGCAGCCCGGUGGUGUGCACACAGCACAAUCCCCUCACCACGGCAGAGAGCUGGAGACGGCGACCCCUGCACAACAGCCCCAGGUUCCUCACCGGCUCCUGGCCAGGCCUGGACGAUGGAUCGGCAACCAGGAUCCUCGCCUGCCCCUGGCCAGGCCUGGGCGAUGGACCAGCAGCUCCCAAAGCGAACCUGCCGCUUGUGAGGUGGAAGCCCCAGUGCUUUCGAGGGGAGGGUCUCUGAGGCUCCUCCUGCUUCUCAGCCACCCUCUUGACUGGCCUAGACCUGAGCCAGGACAGAAGGAGAACUGAGUAGGGGGCACAAAACAGGGGCAAGAUGGCCCAGCCUGGGUGGCCUCAGCCGUGUGUCCCGGGCUCUGCUGAGCCAGGCUGCCCCGACAGAGGAGGCCUAGGGUGAGGCCAGGAUGCGUCAGGGCCUGAGGUCCCCGGGGAGCCUGACCCACCUUCUCCUGACCCUGGCUGAGCAGCCUGUUUCUUGGCCUGUAGAGCAGCCACGGUGUGUAAGGAUAAAUAAUCAUGUCCAGUCAAGGCCAGAGCAGCCCGGAUGACAUGCUGUGAACAGGUUCUAGGUGGGUGACAGGGCACUGAGGCCGACUGCCUUGGGUGUCAGCCACAUCUGUUGAGAUGCGUGUGCCUGACGCCCGAACGCGUGCCAGCGUUUUCUGCGAGCUGUCAUGUGAGGGGCCUGGGGCGUGGCCUGCUGCGAGUGUUUUCUGUGGCCUCGCACGUGAACGCAGCAGGAGCGCAGCCUGCGCAAUCGGACAGACGCCGCACAGCGCUUGUCUGUGCUCACCCUCUCGGUCCUGCUCGGAGCUUCCCACUGACCUCCUCUGGCAUAAGGCGCAGGUAGCGGGGGUGCCUAACUUAUGGCCACCAUGAUUGUGUGGGUCUCGGCACUAACCGUGGUGCUACGGUCGAAAUUUGUGCCCCCCCCCCCCCCACCAUUCCUCAGUGCAAAAGGUGGGGCCUCUGGGAGGUGAUGAGGUCAUGUAGGGGCCUUCACAGAUGGGAUGAGGGCCCAUAACAGAGACUGGAGGGAGCGCAGGUGCCUCUCCAGCCAGACAAGGAUGUGAGAAAGUGCCAACUAUGAAGAGCAGGCCCUCACAAGACCCCGAUCCUGUUGGCACCUGGAUCUUGGACUUCCCAGCUUCUAACUAAGAAAUACAUUUCUGCGGUUUAUACGUUCCCCAGUCUAAGGCAUCUUUGUCACAGCAGCCCAAACAAAGUAAGACACUUUAUGCAUUAGCCAUAGCCAGGCACGGGCACUGGAGACCCAUUAGCUAGACCUUUCACAGACGUGUGGCUUUUGCCUCACUGCGCCCUGGAAGGGGCUGAGGUCAGACAGGCAAUACAGAGGCAGACUCCAUCCACAUGGGCAUCACGGCGCCAGGCAACUCUUCCACCUCUGGGCUGCAGCCAGCCUGCCUGCCGAGUCAGGGUGUUCAGGGCUAUCUGGACUAAUUGGGCCCUUUCUGCUGUGAAGCAGGGGGAGUCUACAAGGAAGGGCUGGUGAAUCUCGUCACAAGCAAACCCCAGAAUGCCACUGAGUCUCCAGUAUUCUUCAAAUAUACCUGCUUCCUGGCCACAAAGCCAGCGAAACCUUGAGAAUUCCGUUGACUCAAAACAGCCAUUUCAGCCACAGUAAAAGAAAGCCAAGAACCACCCACUGUUUGCCCCAGCUGGUGGCGAGCCCCACCUGUCAGGAAGGAAUGUGACUGCCACAAUGGGGCGGUGUGUGUUCUGCCCAGAGCCCCAUCCCUCGUGAGCAACCCCCAUGCAGACACCCAGGGUGUGCCACACCCAGGCCCUGCAGCUGCCCUGUGCCCUCCAUGCCCCGGGGCAAGGUCCCGCCCCAGAGUCUCCUAGCAGCUCUAGCUACCCCAUGGAAGAACACUGCACAGGCAAGUUGGAAGCCUGGAGGCCUGUGUGCCCUCAAAAAUGUCUGCAAAAAGCCGCAAAAUGGCUAAGUUCAAAGUGCUGCAUGAACACAUUAUUCCAAGGUGAAAGUGCUGCUCCAGGACCAACUGUCCCCCAGCCCGUCGACUUCUGCUCUCUUGACAUCCAGCCCCAGCCCUGGGCUGGGCCACCUACUCUGGAACAGGCCUGCCCAGGUACAAGCUGAAAUACAGACCUGCCUCAGGAAACUCAUCAACUCAACAUAUCAGCUCUGUACUGCUGCCAGGCAGACUGCUACUCACUCCGUCCAGCCUCAGCCCAACAAGCUCAUUCCCUCUCCCAGGUGCUGCUGUUCCUGGGCCAGCAGGGUGAACACGUAAUAGAGACGCUAGAAACAUCUCCUGAGCUGAACUAAACCACAUGUUUUAUCAGUAGUGACCCAGAACCCACUCUGGGCUCCGAAGGGCAAGGCCUGGGGAGUGGAGGGGGAAACAGCCCCAGCAUUUGUCUAGGGACUGCUGUCCCUAGAACUCAUGAGCUACGGCCCCACAUGCAGGAGUGGGCAUCCGGUGACAAAGACAAAGCUGGCUGGUCAGGUGAUAUGUCUGGGAGCAGAUAGUGACCACUCCCCUUUGUCCCGGUUGCCUCCUCCGAAGGAGGCUGCGGUAUUCUCACCCCCUGGGCCCUGGCUCUCCACUGAACCUGGAGGGUUCCGGAGAGGAGAGUGGGAAACUAGACUCUGCAGCUGGAGGCACUGAGAUCCUCCACUGGCCAAGUGGCCUCACUUCCCGUUUCCUCCCCUGGGAAGCAGAACUGCUGUCUCUGGCCAGGCUGCUUCACAGGGCCACUGCAAGGAUCCUAAGAGGAAAGCCAGGCUGCUGGUGUCCCACCUGGAGUCCCAAACCCACAGCAGUGCCCACUCUCCACUGCUGUGAGUGUUGGCUCUGACAGUUCAUGGCUGCCCCUUCCGGAACUACUCUGGGCUGGGAGAUCUAGGAUAGGAAGGAGGUUACCCUUUCCCUUUGGGGUCACCCCCAGCCAAUGACCAACAGGUGCAGGGACAGGAGCUGUCCCUCCUCUUGGGCGGGAUCAAGUCCCACGUGCUAGUCACACUUCGCAGCUCCCAAAGCACCAGGCUGAGAAGCGACUUCAGCUGAGCCCACCUCUUUCCUGGGCCUCUGCAGUUCAUGGGCUUCCCUCGCCUCCCUGAAGGUUCUUGCUGGGAGCAUCCCUCUCUGUGUCACUGGCACGAGAAUCCCCGGCUCAGGCCCCGCUUCUAGAGACCCAAUCUAAAGCCACAGGUAAAAGCACCCUGGGUGUUAAUGUAGUUAUAGGUUAUGCACCUGCUUCUUAGUACUACUAUUCUUUCUAGAACGGGAAUGUCAAGCCAUGGUCAGAGACUGGCCACGGGGCCCUGUGGGGAGUCCAGUUCCUGGCCCCAGCCUGCCUGGCAUGUGCUGGGGAGGGGUGGUUGUUGGGGACGCCUCUCCUCGGUUAGUCGGUGUCUUAAGUGUAGUGCCCACAUGAGGCUUCCUCUGGGCCCCUGCCUGCGCCAAGUCCGUCUCCCAGAGGUGCUCAAGUGCCUCCCUUUUGGGCAAGCGAAGACCACUUCCCUCCUGUGCCACUGCUCCUCAUGGCGGGACCAGCUGCGUUUCCUCCUUCCCUUGCUCUCUCCCUCUUUUUAGUCCAGUUUUAUGGCGCUCUGUGUUAGAGGUCUUCAUGGAGCUACCUCGAGUCCCUCUGAGAAAGGGCCAUCAACAAGCCCAACUCACAAGUCACGAGCAGAGCUGGUCCCCAGCCUGGCCUGGCAGCUGCCCUGCUGAAAGCUGCAGGGGCCCCAGGCUCUGGCUGAGUGGACGCAUUUCCUCCCCAAACAGACGCUUGCAUGAGAACAGAAUUCUCCAAGUAUCAAGAAAACACCAGGCUAUGAGAAUGGAUGGCCAACAGCCUGGAAAUUUUCUAAGUCCCAUUUGUGCUGGAAGCUGGCACAGAAACAACCAAGACGGCAAGGCAUGUGGUUUCCUAGGCUUUUUAAAAAACUAUUUCAGAAAAGAAAAAAAGGCACAAGCAUA